rnacentral:rRNA from 1 species
CCUACGGGUGGCAGCAGUGAGGAAUAUUGGUCAAUGGACGAGAGUCUGAACCAGCCAAGUAGCGUGAAGGAUGACUGCCCUAUGGGUUGUAAACUUCUUUUAUAAAGGAAUAAAACGAGGCACGUGUGCCUUUUUGCAUGUACUUUAUGAAUAAGAAUCGGCUAACUCCGUGCCAGCCGCCGCGGUAAUCCGGAGGAUGCGAGCGUUAUCCGGAUUUCGUGGGUUGAAAGGGAGCGUAGAUGGGUGGUUAAGUCAGGUGUGAAAGUUUCGGGCUUAACCCGAAAAUUGCAAUUGAUACUGGCAGUCUUGAGUACAGUUGAGGGAGGUGGAAUGCGUGGUGUAGCGGUGAAAUGCUUAGAGAUCACGAAGAACCCUGAUUGCGAAGGCAGCUUACUAAACUGUGACUGACAUUGAUGCUCGAAAGUGUGGGUAGCAAACAGGAUUAGAUACCCGAGUAGGC